GCCUGGGUGGCUCAGUUGGUUAAAGCAUCCGACUUGGGCUCGGGUCAUCAUCUUACGGUUUGUGGGUUCGAGCCCCGCGUCGGGCU